rnacentral:rRNA from 1 species
GGAUAACCUGCCCUAAGGAAGGGGAUAACCUCGGGAAACUGAGGAUAAUACCCUAUAGGAUACCGACGCUGGAAUGCCCGGUAUCCCAAAGCUCCGGCGCCUUAGGAUGGAUCUGCGGCCGAUUAGGUCGUUGUUGGGGUAACGGCCCAACAAGCCGAUAAUCGGUACGGGUUGUGGGAGCAAGAGCCCGGAGUUGGAUUCUGAGACACGAAUCCAGGCCCUACGGGGCGCAGCAGGCGCGAAAACUUUACAAUGCGGGCAACCGUGAUAAGGGAACCUCGAGUGCCUGUACAUGCAGGCUGUCUGGGUGUCUAAAACACACCCAAAGAAAGGGCCGGGCAAGACCGGUGCCAGCCGCCGCGGUAAUACCGGCGGCUCGAGUGGUGGCCACUUUUAUUGGGCUUAAAGCGUUCGUAGCUGGGUUGUUAAGUCUCUUGGGAAAUCUGGCAGCUUAACUGUCAGGCGUCUAAGAGAUACUGGCAAUCUAGGAACCGGGAGAGGUGAGGGGUACUUCGGGGGUAGGAGUGAAAUCCUGUAAUCCUCGAGGGACCACCUGUGGCGAAGGCGCCUCACCAGAACGGCUUCGACAGUGAGGGACGAAAGCUGGGGGAGCAAACCGGAUUAGAUACCCGGGUAGUCCCAGCCGUAAACGAUGCGCGUUAGGUGUGUCGAUGACCACGAGUCAUCGAGGUGCCGAAGGGAAACCGUGAAACGCGCCGCCUGGGAAGUACGGUCGCAAGGCUGAAACU